CGGGGCGUGGCCCAGCUUGGCAGGGCGCCUGCUUUGGGAGCAGGAGGUCGGCGGUUCGAAUCCGCCCGCCCCGA
rnacentral:tRNA from 3 species